rnacentral:rRNA from 1 species
AGUGAACGCUGGCGGUAGGCCUAACACAUGCAAGUCGAACGGCAGCACAGUAAGAGCUUGCUCUUACGGGUGGCGAGUGGCGGACGGGUGAGGAAUACAUCGGAAUCUACUUUUUCGUGGGGGAUAACGUAGGGAAACUUACGCUAAUACCGCAUACGACCUACGGGUGAAAGCAGGGGAUCUUCGGACCUUGCGCGAUUGAAUGAGCCGAUGUCGGAUUAGCUAGUUGGCGGGGUAAAGGCCCACCAAGGCGACGAUCCGUAGCUGGUCUGAGAGGAUGAUCAGCCACACUGGAACUGAGACACGGUCCAGACUCCUACGGGAGGCAGCAGUGGGGAAUAUUGGGCAAUGGGCGCAAGCCUGAUCCAGCGAUACCGCGUGGGUGAAGAAGGCCUUCGGGUUGUAAAGCCCUUUUGUUGGGAAAGAAAAGCAGCAGGUUAAUACCGCGCUGUUCUGACGGUACCCAAAGAAUAAGCACCGGCUAACUUCGUG